ACAAAAUCAGUAAACUCUCCCAGGAGUUAUCCAAAAAUAAUUUGUUUCUUUGACACCAAUUUUGUUUUGUAAGAGUGUUGAAUGAAACAUUAUAAUGAUUUCUUAGUAUUAACUUUCAAGUGUGUUUUUGUAAGUGUAUCUUGAUGUUUUUCACUCUCUUUAAUUAGUUAACCAACUUUGCCAUUUGCAAUUGUGAGAUUAUUACGUAUAUUUGAAUUACAUAACCAAGAAAUAUAAUUUUCAGAAUAAUUUAUUCUAUACAUUCUCGUUUAAAUAAAAUAUGUAAGAGAUUAUUUAAGUGUUAUAUUGUAGAUUAUUUUAAAAUACUAUUUACUUUACAUUUAUAGUCAAAAUAUUUCUGUAUCUUUGAUAUCUUGAUAAAUUCAUUAGAAUUUUGAUAAACAUUUUCAUGUUAGAUAUACGUUAUAUUUUCCACACAUUCAUAUCGUCCACUAUCUAAUUUAUUUUCUUGCGAAAUUUUGAAUAAUUUUUGUGAUUUAUAAAUUUUGAAAUAAAUAAAACAUUCGUCAAAUGC
rnacentral:misc_RNA from 1 species